rnacentral:rRNA from 1 species
UCGUAGGUGACCUGCGGAAGGAUCAUUACCGAGUCCUGGGUCCCUGUAGGGGCCCAACCUCCCACCCUGUGUCUAUGUUACCGUGUUGCUUCGGCGGGACAGGAGUGCUCCGGCGCUCCUCGCCGGGGGUCCUCUGACCCCGGGUGUGUGCCCGUCGACGGCCUUUUAUCAAACCCGUGUCACCGUGUCGUCUGAAGUGGUAUAACUACAAAUAUGAAAAACUUUCAACAACGGAUCUCUUGGUUCUGGCAUCGAUGAAGAACGCAGCGAAAUGCGAUAAGUAAUGCGAAUUGCAGAAUUUCCGGGAGUCAUCGAAUCUUUGAACGCACAUUGCGCCCUUCGGCAUUCCGAAGGGCAUGCCUGUUCGAGCGUCAUUAUCAUCCCCUCAAGCCCCCGGGCUUGGUGCUGGGUGCGACCCGUCCCGCGUGGCGGGGUCCACCUCAAAGACAACGCCGGCGUCCCCGACGGCCGCGGUGCAACGAGCUCCCCGAGCACGCACCGUCCGACCGCGGAGACCCCGGCCAACCUUCCAUUACACCCGGAUUGACCUCGGAUCAGGUAGGGAUACCCCGCCUGAACUUAAGCAUAUCAAUAAGCGGAGGAAAAGAAACCAACA